GACGAACGCUGGCGGCGUGCCUAAUACAUGCAAGUUGAGCGCUGAAGGUUGGUACUUGUACCAACUGGAUGAGCAGCGAACGGGUGAGUAACGCGUGGGGAAUCUGCCUUUGAGCGGGGGACAACAUUUGGAAACGAAUGCUAAUACCGCAUAAAAACUUUAAACACAAGUUUUAAGUUUGAAAGAUGCAAUUGCAUCACUCAAAGAUGAUCCCGCGUUGUAUUAGCUAGUUGGUGAGGUAAAGGCUCACCAAGGCGAUGAUACAUAGCCGACCUGAGAGGGUGAUCGGACACAUUGGGACUGAGACACGGCCCAAAAUCCUACGGGAGGCAGCAGUAGGGAAUCUUCGGCAAGAGACGAAAGUCUGACCGAGCAACGCCGCGUGAGUGAAGAAGGUUUUCGGAUCGUAAAACUCUGUUGGUAGAGAAGAACGUUGGUGAGAGUGGAAAGCUCAUCAAGUGACGGUAACUACCCAGAAAGGGACGGCUAACUACGUG
rnacentral:rRNA from 1 species